UACGUAGGGCGCAAGCGUUGUCCGGAAUUAUUGGGCGUAAAGAGCUCGUAGGCGGUCUGUCGCGUCGGCUGUGAAAACUCGGGGCUCAACCCCGAGCCUGCAGUCGAUACGGGCAGACUAGAGUGCGGUAGGGGAGACUGGAAUUCCUGGUGUAGCGGUGAAAUGCGCAGAUAUCAGGAGGAACACCGGUGGCGAAGGCGGGUCUCUGGGCCGUAACUGACGCUGAGGAGCGAAAGCGUGGGGAGCAAACAGG
rnacentral:rRNA from 1 species